rnacentral:tRNA from 1 species
GGCGCCGUAGUUCAGUUGGUAGAACUGGAGCCUCAUUGGCUUGUAGUCGCAGGUUCAAAUCCUGCCGGCGCCG